CCUACGGGGGGCAGCAGUGGGGAAUAUUGGACAAUGGGGGCAACCCUGAUCCAGCCAUGCCGCGUGUGUGAAGAAGGCCCUCGGGUUGUAAAGCACUUUCAGUGAGGAAGAACGCCUGGUGGUUAAUACCCAUCAGGAAAGACAUCACUCACAGAAGAAGCACCGGCUAACUCCGUGCCAGCAGCCGCGGUAAUACGGAGGGUGCGAGCGUUAAUCGGAAUUACUGGGCGUAAAGCGCGCGUAGGUGGCUUGAUAAGCCGGUUGUGAAAGCCCCGGGCUCAACCUGGGAACGGCAUCCGGAACUGUCAAGCUAGAGUGCAGGAGAGGAAGGUAGAAUUCCCGGUGUAGCGGUGAAAUGCGUAGAGAUCGGGAGGAAUACCAGUGGCGAAGGCGGCCUUUUGGACUGACACUGACACUGAGGUGCGAAAGCGUGGGUAGCAAACAGGAUUAGAUACCCUAGUAGUC
rnacentral:rRNA from 1 species